CACAAUCAACGUCAAGCCGUUUCUCUUAUAGUCAGUGAAACGUCUCUGUAAACGUCAAGCUGUUCUCCCGCAAAUGGUAGUUCACCUUCCGUUUGAAACGUCAAAUUUGGGGAAUCAGGCAUCAUUAUCAAUAAGCAGUAUCAACAUCUCUUUUUAUGUAAAACAACAUUGGCUCAAUUUUGAUAAACCCUAAAUGGUGAUUCUUUCUGAUCUACUGUUUUUCUUUUCAUAGUUUUUUUGUUUUUGUAGGUUUUCCGUUGGUUCGUUUUUUUUGUUUUUAAUAAAUUUAUGUAAGGAUGCUGGAGCGCAAAAAAUUUCCAUCGCGGAGUGAACUUCUCAUGGUGGAUUUAGCAAAAAAAGAAAAUUGAUGUUCCUGCAGGAUAAGGUGAAUAUAUUUUUUGAGAUGGAGAAAUUGGGGAUGGAGAUUAUCUUAUUUUGGAAUGAGAGGCUGAGGUGCAAGGAUCUAAAAAUGUUGAAGGAAAAGAUUGUUUGGAGCUUGAAUAAAAUUAUGUCACUAUUUCGGUUAUGGUGAAACACCUUAAAACUUUCUAAGUAUUUUAAUGUCUUGCUAACUUUUGCUUGAUUAAAUAUGAUGCAAUGAUUUGACUGGGCAAAUUAUCUUAUCCAAGACUUUGCCCAGUUUAACAAGGGAAAACAGUUGUCCCAAUGUUAACUCUCAACAAUGUGUGGUAGUAAUGGCAUUGUGGUUUUUACAAUGGCUUUGACAUCCUAUCACCAGGUUAAUUGAUGUUAUUACUUUAACUAAGAUAUAUGUACUUAACUAAAAAAUGCUAUAACUUCAUAUGAGUACUUUAUGCCAGCGGUUCAAAGUCGUGUAAGUGGUGGCCACUAUUUGGAAUGUGAUGUCAAGUGCCCAAAAAUACAAAUGCUCCCGGGAGAGUGGGAAUGUAUUAUACGUUUUUUUACACUAUUAUUGCAGAAAUUAGCUGCCAUUUAAUCCAAUAACAGCCUACAGGUUUGAUUAUCCUGUAUAUUCAGCCAACUGAGCAUUGAUAAAUAUAUAUAUGCUUUUGGGCAUUGGAUAUUCUUUAACUUAAUUGUUAUUUCUUCUAGAGGAUACUUGGGAAGAUUGCAGUGGAGACUAUAUCUUUCAGAUCUAUGUCUGGCUAAGGUAUGCUGUAAUCAAUUAUUUCCCCUUUAAUGGUGCGGGUACGUAUCUUAGGAUCUUGGACUGACAAGCCUGGAAAUAUUCCAGUGUCACUAGAAAGGACUAAUGAAUAACUCCAACAUGACUAGAUUGGAGAAGUGAUAAAAAAUAAAUUGCCUAGGUAGAAAUUUUUAUAGUACUUCACCAUUUAAUAAUUUAGUUCAGAAAUGCACGAUUUAUAAAGGGAGAUACCAGUCCUACUAAGUGUUGAUACCAUUUCAUCGAUUCAACGGCCAGGAUCGGUGAGAUCUUUCAUAGUUUUGUCCUAUAUGAAACGGUAUCAACACUUAGUAGAACUGGUAUCCCCUUUAUAAAUCAUGCAGACAUGACUCUCUUUCAUAGUUAUGGAAGAGACGAAAUAUAAGAUAUUGUUAGCAUUAUAAAAUGUAUAUGGUGGUUUCAGGUUUGGUUAGGGGCAGUGAGAAACAAAGAUUAGUAGUGUUCAGGUGUUUAUCCUUUUACUCUGUAUUUUUCUCCAGUUACCCGUAAGUAGAUGACUUUCAAUUUUCAACUCUAAGUCAUUAUCAUGUAAUAAGUUUACUAUUUUUUUUUAUCAUAAGAGAAGUUGUAUUAAAGAGUAGAAGAGGCAUAUCUACCACCACAUGUAAUUAUAUUGCGGAUAAAACAAAGGCAAAAAUCUAACGUCUGUGGUAUCAGCGGAUAAAAAUUCCUUUGAGCAUAAUGUUAAUGAAGGCAUGGAUUACAUCUCAAAAAAUGAUAAAAUAUAUAAACAACUAUAAAUUUACAGUACCGUGACCUAGGUUCAGAAAAAUCUCACUAUACGGGCGGGCUUGGUAGAAACACGAAAUUGUGAGCAUUUGCAGUUCAUGUUUACAGUGCAAUCGCUCCCGUCUCAAAUAGAAUAGAGCAAGUAUAUAGUAUGACACCUGCAUACUAAGUGCUCAACUUUGACAUGUAUAUUGCCGCAUUUCUAGAUGUAUUUGGAUGGGUCAACUUUUGGAGAAUGAUCCACAUACCUCUAAUAUACUGCUGCAUCGCCACUUGCAAGUGGAUGAACCUUUUAUCAUAUUUCAGUGUACUAUGGUUAAUUUGUUGUGAAUUUUAGGCUAUCAAUCAACUUGGUCUGCUACCUUGCAUUUCUUACAAAUUUGGCUAAUUUUAUGUAAAGGUUUGGCUCGGUGGAACCCUUAAUUACUCGGUAGAAUCUUUAAUCAGGUAGAGCUUCGGUUAUUAGAUUUUUAUCUGAAUGACAAUUCAUAGACUCUUAGCAUGCGGCGUGACUUAUAAAAUUUAACAGCCAUACUGGGUCGGUUCCAGCCAGCCAGUUUGUCAUCCAGCCUGCAGUUGUUGCUAAUUCAACUUUCAUAAUUUGCAUAUAAAACCAUUCAAAGGCUAUAACAAAACUACAUCUUGCAACUAAAGCAUCUGAACAACGUACAAUCAAGUUUCCAACCCACCAUAAGGCAGGCAUAUGUACUAAACAAAUUAUGCCCGGGGUCAUACCACUUACGAAUUAAGCAUUGUCAUUUUUUUUUAUAAAUAUUUUGCAACUUUAGAUUCGAUGGUUGAUUCAUAUGUUGUGAUAGAUUAUUUGCAUACAUUGUAAUUCUAGAAUGUAAAAACUUGAAUUUUGGGACGCUUGCUCAGUCGGAAAUGGUGGCCAUAUAUCUGUUUAUCUGUGUUCUAAUACUAAAGAGAUGUUUUUUUUAUAUUUACAUGUGAGUUGGGAUGCUCAUCACCAUUACAACUUGAGUCCUAUAUUAUCCAGAGGUCGCUGCUCUGGACAACCUGCCAUGGCUUCCAGCGAUCUUUACGACUACUCCAUUACAAAGAUUAAAAAAGUUAUAAUGGGAGUCACAUGUUACUGAUAACUACUCUGUUGACAGCCAUUGCUUCUAGCAAUCAAUACGUUUCGGGACAUGGAUAAUUUCGGGGAAUCAACUACCUAUUGGUGGUGCAAGAGGCUUAUAGUAUAUAUUGCUGUUGCACAUUAAGUUCUCUAUAAUAUAUUACAUCAUGCAGUACUGA